rnacentral:rRNA from 1 species
AGAGUUUGAUCCUGGCUCAGAUUGAACGCUGGCGGCGUGCUUAACACAUGCAAGUCGAGCGGGAAUAACUUAGGUGCUUGCACCUAAGUUAUUCUAGCGGCGGACGGGUGAGUAACGCGUGGGUAACCUGCCUUAUACAGGGGGAUAACAUAGUGAAAACUAUGCUAAUACCGCAUAAGACCACAGAGUCGCAUGACACGGUGGUAAAAACUUUAGUGGUAUAAGAUGGACCCGCGUCUGAUUAGCUAGUAGGUGAGGUAACGGCUCACCUAGGCGACGAUCAGUAGCCGACCUGAGAGGGUGAUCGGCCACAUUGGGACUGAGACACGGCCCAAACUCCUACGGGAGGCAGCAGUGGGGAAUAUUGCACAAUGGAGGAAACUCUGAUGCAGCGACGCCGCGUGAAGGAAGAAGGUUUUCGGAUCGUAAACUUCUAUCAGCAGGGACGAAAAUGACGGUACCUGACUAAGAAGCCCCGGCUAACUACGUGCCAGCAGCCGCGGUAAUACGUAGGGGGCAAGCGUUAUCCGGAAUUACUGGGUGUAAAGGGUGCGUAGGCGGUAAUGUAAGUCAGGUGUGAAAGCCCGAAGCUCAACUUCGGGAUUGCACUUGAAACUACAUAACUAGAGUACAGGAGAGGUGAGUGGAAUUCCUAGUGUAGCGGUGAAAUGCGUAGAUAAUUAGGGAGGAAACACCAGUGGCGAAAGGGCGGCUUUCUGGACUGUAACUGACGCUGAGGCACGAAAGCCGUGGGGAGCGAACAGGAUUAGAUACCCUGGUAGUCCACGCUGUAAACGAUGAAUGCUAGGUGUCGGCUCUUAAGGGGUCGGUGCCGAAGUCAACACAUUAAGCAUUCCACCUGGGGAGUACGAUCGCAAGAUUGAAACUCAAAGGAAUUGACGGGGGCCCGCACAAGCGGUGGAGCAUGUGGUUUAAUUCGAAGCAACGCGAAGAACCUUACCAGGUCUUGACAUCCCAUUGACCGGUCCGUAACGGGACCAUUCCUUCGGGACAAUGGAGACAGGUGGUGCAUGGUUGUCGUCAGCUCGUGUCGUGAGAUGUUGGGUUAAGUCCCGCAACGAGCGCAACCCUUAUCUUUAGUAGCCAGCACAUAAUGGUGGGAACUCUAGAGAGACUGCCGGGGAUAACUUGGAGGAAGGUGGGGAUGACGUCAAAUCAUCAUGCCCCUUAUGAUCUGGGCUACACACGUGCUACAAUGGCGGUAACAAAGGGAAGCUAAGGAGCGAUCCGGAGCAAACCCCAAAAAAGCCGUCCCGGUUCGGAUUGUAGUCUGCAACUCGACUACAUGAAGUUGGAAUCGCUAGUAAUCGCGAAUCAGAAUGUCGCGGUGAAUACGUUCCCGGGCCUUGUACACACCGCCCGUCACACCACGGGAGUUGAUUGUACCUGAAAUCGGUGGGCUAACCUUCGGGAGGCAGCCGCUUAUGGUAUGGUCGGUAACUGGGGUGAAGUCGUAACAAGGUAGCCGUA